AAGGACAUGGCUGACAUUGUUAUUCCUGUUUUACAAAUGAGGGAAUUGAGGCAGAUAGAAAUUUAGUGAAUUACAUAGUCACAUAUCUAAAUAAGUUUCUGAAGCUGAAUUUAAAUGCAGAUUUUCUUGACUUCAAGUCCUGGACUCUAUCCAUAUAAAAUAAUAAACUUGGUUGACACCUUUGUGCUGUCUCUGGGAGGAAUGGACAAACAAAACUAAGUUGUGGACUGGUAACAUUUAGUGCUUAUUUGCAAGACCAUCUUCCAGUGUAUCUGAGUCUAAAUCUGAAGUUAAUUUGUUUUUCUUGUGACCAGUAUUUAAGGGAUCUAUCUACACUGCAGUUCAGUCAUGCUGUGAAUUUUAGAUUUUCUCCAUUUGGCUUAGUCUAGCACCCAGGAAUGUAUACACCCACACCACACUGGCAUGUGCUAGCAAGUGACAAAUCAGAAACAACUGACUGUCCCCUGGGCUGUCCUAAGAUAAGCUUGCGGCACCAUUGGCACAUGUGAGACACAGGAAGUGAUGUAGAGAACUGCCUUUGGAGUUCAAGUCACUUCCUGUGUGGACUGCCUGGGUGCCAGUUGACCCCGGAACUCGAGUCUGGAGGAGCUCCUCAGAUGGCUUCCUUGAGACUAUCACAUGGGUUCCAUGAGCUCCAAAGGGAAGAGUCUCCCAUGGAACACCUGAUUUUUCUUUCUCCUGCCUCUCACACCAGCCUCUAUUUGGCUAGACUAUAGCCUGUCUCAGAUAGACACUUUC
rnacentral:lncRNA from 1 species